rnacentral:rRNA from 1 species
AGUUUGAUCCUGGCUCAGGACGAACGCUGGCGGCGCGCCUAACACAUGCAAGUCGAACGAGAGAUGAGGAGCUUGCUCUUCAAAUCGAGUGGCGAACGGGUGAGUAACGCGUGAGGAACCUGCCUCAAAGAGGGGGACAACAGUUGGAAACGACUGCUAAUACCGCAUAAGCCCACGGCUCGGCAUCGAGCAGAGGGAAAAGGAGUGAUCCGCUUUGAGAUGGCCUCGCGUCCGAUUAGCUGGUUGGUGAGGUAAUGGCCCACCAAGGCGACGAUCGGUAGCCGGACUGAGAGGUUGAACGGCCACAUUGGGACUGAGACACGGCCCAGACUCCUACGGGAGGCAGCAGUGGGGAAUAUUGCACAAUGGGGGAAACCCUGAUGCAGCGACGCCGCGUGGAGGAAGAAGGUCUUCGGAUUGUAAACUCCUGUUGUUGAGGAAGAUAAUGACGGUACUCAACAAGGAAGUGACGGCUAACUACGUGCCAGCAGCCGCGGUAAAACGUAGGUCACAAGCGUUGUCCGGAAUUAAUGGGUGUAAAGGGAGCGCAGGCGGGAGAACAAGUUGGAAGUGAAAUCCAUGGGCUCAACCCAUGAACUGCUUUCAAAACUGUUUUUCUUGAGUAGUGCAGAGGUAGGCGGAAUUCCCGGUGUAGCGGUGGAAUGCGUAGAUAUCGGGAGGAACACCAGUGGCGAAGGCGGCCUACUGGGCACCAACUGACGCUGAGGCUCGAAAGUGUGGGUAGCAAACAGGAUUAGAUACCCUGGUAGUCCACACCGUAAACGAUGAUUACUAGGUGUUGGAGGAUUGACCCCUUCAGUGCCGCAGUUAACACAAUAAGUAAUCCACCUGGGGAGUACGACCGCAAGGUUGAAACUCAAAGGAAUUGACGGA